CCUACGGGAGGCUGCAGUGAGGAAUAUUGGUCAAUGGGCGGAAGCCUGAACCAGCCAAGUCGCGUGAGGGAAUAAGGCCCUACGGGUCGUAAACCUCUUUUGCCGGGGAGCAAGGGCCGGGACGCGUCCCGGCCCGGAGAGUACCCGGAGAAAAAGCAUCGGCUAACUCCGUGCCAGCAGCCGCGGUAAUACGGAAGGUCCGGGCGUUAUCCGGAUUUAUUGGGUUUAAAGGGAGCGUAGGCCGGUCUUUAAGCGUGCCGUGAAAUUUUGUGGCUCAACCAUGAGAGUGCGGCGCGAACUGGAGACCUUGAGUGCGCGGAAGGCAGGCGGAAUUCGUGGUGUAGCGGUGAAAUGCUUAGAUAUCACGAAGAACCCCGAUUGCGAAGGCAGCCUGCCGCAGCGUUACUGACGCUGAAGCUCGAAAGCGCGGGUAUCGAACAGGAUUAGAUACCCUGGUAGUC
rnacentral:rRNA from 1 species